AAAUAAAUAGAGAUAAAUAAAUAAUGAAUUUGUUUUUUAUUAAAAGAAAUUGAAUUUUAUUUCUUUUUUCUUUAAUUGAUUUGGAUCAUCUUGGGGAUUUUUUUGGUAAUGCAUUUAAGGAUUAGACCCUAACAGAUGUAGUAUAAAUGCUAAAUGCAUCGGCAAAUUGAUGACACACAAGCGGCGCCCCUUUAGCGUGCACUUUCUCUCUCAAUUUUGAAACGCAAAUCAAAAAGUAAAAUUUGAAGAAGGGAGGGAAAUGAAAAAACAGAAGUUGAAGACUCUUCUUCUUGUCCAUUCACGUGACCCCCUCAAUCAUCUCUGCUCACUCAGUAACUGCGGCCCCAUCUAAUAACCCCACAAAACAUGUUACUACACUGUUCAUACCGUAACCACCAUAACCAACACAACAAACACAUUUUCGGAAACCUACACAAACCUCUCACCGGAAUACAUCUUCAUUCCGCCUCCUGUCAAAGCGCAACAACAACAUCCUCACCGCUAACCUUCAAGCUCUCUGGAAGCAGAUUCAGAUUCGCAACAACGACUUGGUAAAGAUUUCAUUCGAAAGUGUUUGUUGCAUUUUUAACGUAUUCAGUUUUGAGUUUCCUUUCACAUUGUGCGGUUGUGGUUAUACCUUCGAUUUUGUUGUAUAUAUUAUCGCGAUUGUGCUGCGGUAUUUUGUUUUUAUUGUGAUUAAAUACGAUAUGAGCAAUUCGUAUAUUCGACCCGAUCCGAUUAUGGAUGGUGCUGGAUAUUUUAGGCUAUUAAUAUUAAUGUAAUAUUGUAAAUAUUUUCAGUUGUGAUUCUACUGUUGUUGUUCUGUUUUUCAUUGCGUUGAGAUCGGAUAAAAUUUGCAUAUUUGGCAUGAUUUUAAUGUUGUGAUGUUGCUGGAUUUUCGUUUGAUAUAAUGACGCAAAUGUUUAGUAUACAUGUUGCUGUUUUUUGUUUAUCAAUAUUGUGUUAAGUGCAUUUUAUUUCGAUUGCGAUGAGCGCAUUGUGUGUUAGCAAGUUGCUGGCUAGUUUUCUUUCGUUUUUGUGCGACAUUUUGAUUUUGUUGUAGUAUCAUUUAGCUCAAUUUGUCUUCUCACGUUGCGUUUAACUUAACACUGUUUCCCUAUCAUUUUGUUGUGUAUGCGGUAUUACAGUAUUGCAGUUCCUACGAUGUGUGACAUAAAGUUAUGCUUUGC
rnacentral:lncRNA from 1 species